rnacentral:rRNA from 1 species
GAUGAACGCUAGCGGCAGGCCUAACACAUGCAAGUCGAGGGGCAGCACAUAAAGUGGUUUACUACUUUUGGUGGCGACCGGCGGACGGGUGCGUAACGCGUAUGCAACCUGCCUCCAACAGGGGGAUAACGGAGAGAAAUUUCCACUAAUACCCCAUAAUAUCAGAAUCGGCAUCGGUUUUGGUUGAAAACUCCGGUGGUUGGAGAUGGGCAUGCGUUGUAUUAGAUAGUUGGUGAGGUAACGGCUCACCAAGUCAACGAUACAUAGGGGGACUGCGAGGUUAGCCCCCCAAACGGGUACUGAGACACGGACCAGACUCCUACGGGAGGCAGCAGUGAGGAGUAUUGGUCAAUGGGAGCAACCUUGAACCAGCCAUGCCGCGUGCAGGAAGACGGCUCUAUGAGUUGUAAACUGCUUUUACAAGGGGAUAAAUCGGUGUACGUGUACACCGUUGAAGGUACCUUGGGAAUAAGGAUCGGCUAUCUCCGUGCCAGCCGCCGCGGUAA